rnacentral:rRNA from 1 species
UACGUAGGGUGCGAGCGUUAAUCGGAAUUACUGGGCGUAAAGCGUGCGCAGGCGGUUUUGUAAGCCAGAUGUGAAAGCCCCGGGCUCAACCUGGGAACUGCAUUUGAAACUGGCGGGCUUGAGUAUGGCAGAGGGGGGUGGAAUUCCGCGUGUAGCAGUGAAAUGCGUAGAGAUGCGGAGGAACACCGAUGGCGAAGGCAGCCCCCUGGGCCAAUACUGACGCUCAGGCACGAAAGCGUGGGGAGCAAACAGG